UACGGAGGGUGCAAGCGUUAUCCGGAUUCACUGGGUUUAAAGGGUGCGUAGGUGGGCAAGUAAGUCAGUGGUGAAAUCUCCGGGCUUAACCCGGAAACUGCCAUUGAUACUAUUUGUCUUGAAUACUGUGGAGGUCAGCGGAAUAUGUCAUGUAGCGGUGAAAUGCUUAGAUAUGACAUAGAACACCAAUUGCGAAGGCAGCUGGCUACACAAAUAUUGACACUGAGGCACGAAAAGCGUGGGGGAUCAAAACAGG
rnacentral:rRNA from 1 species